rnacentral:rRNA from 1 species
CCUACGGUGGGCUGCAGUGGGGAAUAUUGCACAAUGGGGGGAACCCUGAUGCAGCGCCGCCGCGUGAGUGAAGAAGUAUUUCGGUAUGUAAAGCUCUAUCAGCAGGGAAGAAAAUGACGGUACCUGACUAAGAAGCCCCGGCUAACUACGUGCCAGCAGCCGCGGUAAUACGUAGGGGGCAAGCGUUAUCCGGAUUUACUGGGUGUAAAGGGAGCGCAGACGGCUGUGCAAGUCUGGAGUGAAAGGCGGGGGCGCAACCCCCGGACUGCUCUGGAAACUGUAAAGCUGGAGUGCAGGAGAGGUAAGCGGAAUUCCGAGUGUAGCGGUGAAAUGCGUAGAUAUUAGGAGGAACACCAGUGGCGAAGGCGGCUUACUGGACUGCAACUGACGUUGAGGCUCGAAAGCGUGGGGAGCAAACAGGAUUAGAUACCCUGGUAGUC